GAUGAAGAACGUAGCAAAAUGCGAUAAGUAAUGUGAAUUGCAGAAUUCAGUGAAUCAUCGAAUCUUUGAACGCACAUUGCGCCCGCCAGUAUUCUGGCGGGCAUGCCUGUUCGAGCGUCAUUUCAACCCUCAAGCACAGCUUGGUGUUGGGACUCGCGUUAAUUCGCGUUCCUCAAAUUGAUUGGCGGUCACGUCGAGCUUCCAUAGCGUAGUAGUAAAACCCUCGUUGCUGGUAAUCGUCGCGGCCACGCCGUUAAACCCCAACUUCUGAAUGUUGACCUCGGAUCAGGUAGGAAUACCCGCUGAACUUAAGCAUAUCAAUAAGCGGAGGA
rnacentral:misc_RNA from 1 species